rnacentral:misc_RNA from 1 species
AACGGUCUAUACCUGCGGUACCUGCGGAAGGAUCAUUACCGAGUUAUCAACUCCCAAACCCCUGUGAACAUACCCGAGCGUUGCCUCGGCGGGACCGCCCCGGCGCCCCUAGCGGCCCGGAACCAGGCGCCCGCCGGAGGACCCAAACUCUUGCUUUAAACAGUGGCAUACUCUCUGAGUCUCACAAACAAAAAAUAAAUCAAAACUUUCAACAACGGAUCUCUAGAUCGGAAGAGCACA